CUUUUGUUCCCUCUAGUGGCUACUUCUUCUCAUAUGAUGCGUGAACAAAAUGGCACAAAGAUGCACCACAUGAGUGUACCUCAAAUAUAUAUAUACUAUUUAUAUUGUGUGCUUAUAUAUACAUAAUAUGUCUAUUAUGUAUAUAUUUUGCAGUACACUGAUUGGUCAAUUUUCAUGCUAUUUUGGCUCCUCUGAAUUCCUUUUCAUGAAACAAUAGCAUAGACAAAAUUUGUCAAACCAAAACUCCACAUGGACAAAAUCUGAAUUGCC